rnacentral:rRNA from 1 species
GAUGAACGCUGGCGGCGUGCCUAAUACAUGCAAGUCGAGCGAACAGACGAGGAGCUUGCUCCUCUGACGUUAGCGGCGGACGGGUGAGUAACACGUGGAUAACCUACCUAUAAGACUGGGAUAACUUCGGGAAACCGGAGCUAAUACCGGAUAAUAUAUUGAACCGCAUGGUUCAAUAGUGAAAGACGGUUUUGCUGUCACUUAUAGAUGGAUCCGCGCCGCAUUAGCUAGUUGGUAAGGUAACGGCUUACCAAGGCAACGAUGCGUAGCCGACCUGAGAGGGUGAUCAGCCACACUGGAACUGAGACACGGUCCAGACUCCUACGGGAGGCAGCAGUAGGGAAUCUUCCGCAAUGGGCGAAAGCCUGACGGAGCAACGCCGCGUGAGUGAUGAAGGUCUUCGGAUCGUAAAACUCUGUUAUUAGGGAAGAACAAAUGUGUAAGUAACUAUGCACGUCUUGACGGUACCUAUUCAGAAAGCCACGGCUAACUACGUG